UACGGGGGGAGCAAGCGUUGUUCGGAUUUACUGGGCGUAAAGGGUGCGUAGGUGGUUCUGCAAGUCUGAUGUGAAAUCUCCGGGCUUAACCCGGAAAUGGCAUUGGGAAACUGCAGGGCUAGAGUGUUGGAGGGGGGGACUGGAAUUCUCGGUGUAGCAGUGAAAUGCGUAGAUAUCGAGAGGAACACCAGUGGCGAAGGCGAGUCCCCUGGACAACUACUGACACUGAGGCACGAAAGCUAGGGGAGCAAACAGG
rnacentral:rRNA from 1 species